rnacentral:piRNA from 1 species
CUGUGGUUUUCACAGUAGAGCUUGGAGC